AUUGAACGCUGGCGGCAUGCUUUACACAUGCAAGUCGAACGGUAACGCGGGGGGUAACCCCUGGCGACGAGUGGCGAACGGGUGAGUAAUACAUCGGAACAUGUCCUGGAGUGGGGGAUAGCUCGGCGAAAGCCGGAUUAAUACCGCAUACGCUCUGAGGAGGAAAGCGGGGGACCUGGUAACGGGCCUCGCGCUGCAGGAGUGGCCGAUGUCGGAUUAGCUAGUUGGUGAGGUAAAGGCUCACCAAGGCGACGAUCCGUAGCUGGUCUGAGAGGAUGAUCAGCCACACUGGGACUGAGACACGGCCCAGACUCCUACGGGAGGCAGCAGUGGGGAAUUUUGGAUAAUGGGGGCAACCCUGAUCCAGCCAUGCCGCGUGAGUGAAGAAGG
rnacentral:rRNA from 1 species